GAUCAAACCCACAUAUUCAUGGAUACUAGUCAGGUUCAUUACUGCUGAGCCAUAAUGGUAACUUCCUGAACUUGACUCUUUCUAAGUCUCAUGGUAAAAGUAUUUCCUCUUGGGACCUAGGAUCUGAGGCACAGAGUCUAGAAUUGUUGGGGAAAAUGCAAAAACUUUCCAAAUAGGUCACAGAGAAUAACGCUAAAUCCANAUUACUUUUAUCUCUCGGUUCCUGAACCUAUGAAUUUCGCAUAUUGAGGACACAGUACUUAUUUAUUUAUUUAUUUUGUCUUUUGUCUUUCUAGGGCCGCACCCGUGGCAUAUGGAGGUUUCCAGGCUAAGGGGUCUAAUCGAAGCUGUUGCCACCAGCCUACACCAUAGCCACAGCAAUACCAGAUCCAAACUGUGUGUGCGAACUACACCAUAGUUCAUGGCAACACCAGAUCCUUAACCGGUGUUAAGCAAGGCCAGGGAUCAAACCCACAACCUCAUGGUUCCUCGUCAGAUUUGUUUCCACUGUGCCACGAUAGGAACUCCAAGAGCACAGUACGUUAUUACAGCAGCUGAUUUAUAGCAUACAUUCUGUUCUGAUUCUGUGGGCAGCUUCUGAAGCCUCCUUCAGUGAAUCAAAACUCUCUAAAUCCUCAGAUUACCUAGUAGCUAAGACUCUGUGGAUGGAAAAGGCAACUCUGCACCCCAAAUAUGUGUGAAUUAGUCAAGACGAAGUGCUGGAUCUUCAAGAGAUUCCAUCAGAAUUGAAAGAGGUACAAUGCAAUGAACUUGCCACCAGUGACAGGCUUCUUGAGGAGUAGUGUGGUAUCAGGGACAGCAUAAGUCUUUGUUUUUGGCAGAUUGUACCUCUGACAGUGGUGGAAACUAGACUGGCCUUUGUGAGUGGGAGUUCUGUGCAUAGCCUACAUUCCUGCCACCAGUGUGGCUAUAUUCACAUACCUAUGGUGUAGGCACUGGAGUAACUGGUAGUGAAGGCAGGUAAAAAUCAACUAGCUAUGUAAUUCAGUCUAGCUCCUUGGUCAGCCUCUUCCAUAGUAGCUAAACCCUCAUGGUUACUAACAUGCAAUAUGAAGGUUUUUACCUUUGUGCCUGUUUCCAUUGGUAUAUUCACAGCUUCUUUUCAGAUUUCCUUGUUCCAAUCUUACAGUCUUUCUCCGUCCAGUCCCAAAAUUGGUAAACCAAGCCACUUGCCACUGUCAGUGAGUUAAUAUAUAUUAUUAUAUUAGGCUAUUUUUCUUUCUAUAUAAAGUGGCUCACCAAGCUCACUAUUUGAAGCCUUGCCCCCAUUUAGAUGAUUUCUUCUCACUACUAUCUUUAGCAACAUACCACAGUAUGGCAGUAGUACAAAAGCAAUUCAUUUUUGGCUUGUACCAACAUAUGCAGCUAACCUAUUCAUGAAUCAAUCUUAAAUAAAUUAUCGCCUCCUCUCUAUGCUGGUCACAAGGACUCCUAUGCAGCCUUGUGCGGAGAGGAAUAGAGAAAGUACACUAGUGGUAGAUGUCAUAGGGGUUUGUAAUAUCUGCAUAUGCAGCUAACUUCUGCCCUCUGGCCUUGUUCAUUCCAGUUUUCACAUGUGCUUCUUCCAUCUUAUGAUGGAUCACUGUGGCUCACCCAAAUGUAUGACUUGGAAGAAAUCAGCUCAUGAUGGUCAGUCUGGCUGCAUGGCCACUUGUGUCUCAUGAUGUUGCUCACUUCUCCCAAGAUGAGCUAACGUGCCAAAAACUGUUUGUCACAUGGUGAGACCCUGGCAUAGCCUUUCUCCAGACCCCAAGGUUUUGUGUUGUGAUUCCGUUGCUGGGGCUUGUCACGAUAUCAAAGGGAAUUUUCUAUCAUAGAUGCCUCAAAUUCCACUGGAUCUACAAAGUUGCAUAAGCAAGGUAGCAGGGCUACUUGCCACACAGCCAAGACAUACGUCAGAAGCCUGUCCUGACCUGGACCCUAAAAUUGGCAGCCAUCUGUAUCUCUCAAAAGUGGUCAGAGAAUGUUUGUAAGAGUGAAAGGCACUGACUCCAGAAACUAAAGAGGCCAGCCAGUAAAGAGAGUCUUUAAAUACAGUUAUUUGUCUUUUACUUUGGAUGGUGAAGGACAGGUAUGUCCCUUCCUACUGAAUCCCUAAAAAGUUAAGUGAUUUGAUAGGACUGAAACUCUGUUGGUUUAUAUCCUACCAUCUGGAGUACAUGCGUUCUUACCAAGGCCUUCAAAGUUUGUCACUUCUUACUCAUCCAGUUUGAUUAAUGUGAUGUCAUAGAUAUAUGAACCAAUGUAAUUUGCUGCUGGGUGUCCAAAUAGUGUAUACCCCUGAGAAUGAUGCUGUGCAGAAGGAAAGAAUAGGCAAGGGCAAGACUGUAAGCAUGUAACUUUACAAAUCUAACAUGAAUGCAAACUUCUUUAGAUUCUUCUUCCUGAUUGUGGUGGAAAAUAACUCAUUUGACAUAUAACUGGUCAUAUACCAGCUACCUGAAGCCAGGCUGAUUUGCUCUACUAAAGACAGCACAAUUGGUACAGCACAGCUACUGAGGUUACGACUUGGGUGGAUUCUGCAUGGUCUGCUCUUAUCCUCCAGGGUAUUUCUUAUGUAGGUUAAACUGAUAAAGUAAGUGGAUAUAUGAUGUGGCUAUCACCCAGGCUAUCCUAUAAGCCAUUAAGAGUGAUAUGAAUGUUUUCCACUCACCUAAUAUGCACUGUUGUUUUCAACAUAACUAUAUUGGUUGGGGAUGUGAGGUGGGGGGUUGUUUUGGAGGCUUCCAAUUAGCCUUCCUCCAUGCUAGCUCUCUUCCUACAGGCUAGGGAAAAAAUACAGCAAAGUCUCAACUACCAAGCAUGCCAUUAUACAUUCAGGGGCUUGAGAAAUGACCCCAGAAAGGGUUUAUAGAUUUACUCUACCCACUGUGAGCUGACCCAACCCAAGACUUCAUUUAUUUCCUUACCCCAUAAUACCCACUGCAACAGGAGGGCUAUAAUGACACUUAGUCCCCAGGUAUAAGUGUCAGCCCAAUACCUGUUAAGGCUGUAUCAAACAUUUUCUUUCACUAAGGUACUACCUUAGUUCAGGCUCCUCUAGAAAAAUACCAUAAACUGGGUGGCUUAUACACAAGGACAUUUUUUGUUUUUGUUUGUUUGUUUGUUUGUUUGUUUGUUUUUACGGUUUUGGAGGCUAGAUGCCUGAGAUCAGGAUGCCAGUAUGGCUCAAUUUUGGUGAGCCCCCUCCUCCAGGAUGCAGGUGGCUGCCUUUUCAUUGUCUUUUUACCUGGUAGAGAGCAGAGAGAAGGAGCAAGAGCCCUGGGGACCCUUACAAUGCACUUACCACUCAUGAGGACUCUACCUUUACGAUAUCAUCUCAUUCUAAUUACCUUCCCAUCUCCUAAUACCAUCCCAUCGGGGGAUUAGGUAUCAGAAAUUUAAUUUGGGGUGAACACUAACAUUCAGUCCAUAGCAAGUAUGGUUAGCAAAGUACACGGCCCCUGAAUCAUUUGGGGAAGAAUUUGGUAAAUCAUAGUCAUUACUGUGGUAUUGCAUAGUCUUUUUCUUCUUGGGAACUGAUCCUCUUAUUCACCCAGUGGGUUCUGGGUCUAAAACUGGCCUGACAUCCAGAAUUUGCGCCAAGGAUCAUGAAUUUUCAUUGAGGUGAUGGCCUUCAACUUCCUCAUCUUCCAGUUUUCUUUUCUUUUGAAUAUAUAGAUUAAAUAAG
rnacentral:lncRNA from 1 species